rnacentral:misc_RNA from 1 species
CUGAAGUAAAAACUACAAACGAGCAAUCGGACUGAAAAUUUGGGCUUCAAAUCGGGAAAAGAAAUCAUCUUGCAUUAUUUUGACUCCCAUCUUGCUCCUGCUACAAUCUCAUUGUUUCUGUCUUUGUUCAGCUGGAAAAUUGAUUGGCAGGACAUGGGUUAUGAUUCUACCAUGUCCAAUACGACAGAGGACUCAAACCAGGGAAUUGACAAGCAGCACCUUGCUUCUCACAUUAAGAAUUUGGUGGACAAGUAUCAACUUGUUCCAGAAUUCCUAAAAGUGAGAGGUUUGGUGAAGCAACACUUGGACUCCUUCAAUUAUUUUGUAAGGACGGAAAUAAAGAAGAUUGUCCGAGCAAAUCAGGAGAUUAGAUCAACAUUGGACCCCAAUAUUUAUCUUAGGUACAGGGAUGUUCACAUUGGUGAACCAUCAAUGGUUUUUGAUGCUGUAACCGAGAAAUUAUGUCCACAGAAAUGCCGACUAUCUGACCGUACCUAUGCAGCACCAAUUUAUGUCACCAUUGACUACACGACAGGAAGUCAUGGGCAAACAUCAGUGUCAACAAAGAAGAAUGUUAUCAUUGGAAGGAUGCCAAUUAUGCUUAGAAGCAGUUGUUGCGUGCUAUAUGGGAAAGAUGAAGAUGAACUAGCAAGACUUGGAGAAUGCCCACUUGAUCCUGG